rnacentral:lncRNA from 1 species
AUUUCUUUCUCCGGAGGACAAACAAGUCUCAGAACUGGGACAGGAGUACCAGGCCACCCACUGCCAUGGCGGCUGCGGAGACUCGGGGACUUGUUGCUGGGAGUUCAUCUUUCCCUCUCCGGUCAGGCGUGGGCUGCAGAUCCAACUAGCACACUCAAGUCCCUUGCUCGGAGCUGCGGCGCCGCGUUUUGUGCAGAUACCCUUCCCAGACCGACUUUCCGAAGGGACAGGAAAUCCACCCUCUGAAGGCCAGUUGCCUAUGAGGAAGAUAGAAGCGCCUAGAAACGGCAUUGAUUUAGACAUCAAUCCUGACCUCCUCCCUCGUCCCUCCUACUCCUCCCCACUGGCUGGGCCGCGCCACCCCCUCCUUGUGAAGGAAACCUUCCCCAGCCGGAUUCGGCUGGCUGGCAAUCAGACCCGCUCACUCAAGCCCCUACAGACUGCACAUCAACCCCCGACAGCCUGCAUGCCUGCCCCCAGGGUCUCCAACCUACCUCCACGGAGUCACACCCCUCCCCCGACUCCAUGUCCACCAUGACCUGCAUACCAGCCACCCCCACAACCUUGAUACCCCAGCCCCAAGGACCUCUGGCCUCCGAUCACCCUCAGGCUGGAGGCCAGCGCCCAGGGCCUCCGUGCCGGGUCCCUACGGUAUUGGCCUUCUGAAGAAUGCGGAAGAAUGCGGGGCUUCUUAAGUUCUGGCGUCCAGCCUGGCUCCUGUGCACCAACGCCCCCACACCAAUCCCCAGAGCCUCCAACGCCCUCCUAGUUGAUCUCCAACCUCACCCCCACCGUCUGGACUCACUCCCUGCGGUCUCGAUCUCUCAUCUCCAGCCCACUCGGUAGGCCUCCACGCUUGGGCCGCCCAAACAGUCGGCUCCACGUCGGGCGUUCAGCGGUGCAAACGCUACGUCCUUGGGGCCAACAGGUCUCCCCAGCCCUCCAGUUCACAGGGUGGCCGGUUGGUUCGCUCUGCCCGGGGUUCUUCGGAACUCAGUUUUCU